AAACUGGGAUUAGAUACCCCACUAUGCUUAGCCCUAAACAUAGAUAAUUUUACAACAAAAUAAUUCGCCAGAGGACUACUAGCAAUAGCUUAAAACUCAAAGGACUUGGCGGUGCUUUAUAUCCCUCUAGAGGAGCCUGUUCUAUAAUCGAUAAACCCCGAUAAACCUCACCACCUUUCGCUAAUUCAGUCUAUAUACCGCCAUCUUCAGCAAACCCUCAAAAGGUAGAACAGUAAGCACAAUCAUUUUACAUAAAAAAGUUAGGUCAAGGUGUAACUUAUGAGGUGGGAAGAAAUGGGCUACAUUUUCUACCCAAGAACAUUUCACGAAUGUUUUUAUGAAAUUAAAAACUGAAGGAGGAUUUAGUAGUAAAUUAAGAAUAGAGAGCUUAAUUGAAUAGGGCCAUGAAGCACGCACACACCGCCCGUCACCCUC
rnacentral:rRNA from 1 species